ACUACAUUAGAUACCCGCGUAGUCCUAGCCGUAAACGAUACUCGCUUGGUGUCGGCCACGGUGCGACCGUUGUCGGUGCCGUAGGGAAGCCGUGAAGCGAGCCACCUGGGAAGUACGGCCGCAAGGCUGAAACUUAAAGGAAUUGGCGGGGGAGCACCACAACGGGUGGAGCUUGCGGUUUAAUUGGAUUCAACGCCGGAAAUCUUACCGGGACCGACAGCAACAUGAAGGCCAGGCUGAAGACUUUGCCGGAUUAGCUG
rnacentral:rRNA from 1 species